rnacentral:rRNA from 1 species
CCUACGGGAGGCUGCAGUCGAGAAUCAUUCACAAUGGGGGAAACCCUGAUGGUGCGACGCCGCGUGGGGGAAUGAAGGUCUUCGGAUUGUAAACCCCUGUCAUGUGGGAGCAAAUUAAAAAGAUAGUACCACAAGAGGAAGAGACGGCUAAAUCUGUGCCAGCAGCCGCGGUAAUACCGAGGUCUCAAGCGUUGUUCGGAAUCACUGGGCGUAAAGCGUGUGUAGGCUGUUUCGUAAGUCGUGUGUGAAAGGCGCGGGCUCAACCCGCGGACGGCACAUGAUACUGGGAGACUAGAGUAAGGGAGGGGGAAGCGGAAUUCGCGGUGUAGCAGUGAAAUGCGUAGAUAUCGAGAGGAACACUCGUGGCGAAGGCGGGUUCCUGGACAUUAACUGACGCUGAGGCACGAAGGCCAGGGGAGCGAAAGGGAUUAGAUACCCUUGUAGUC